CACGCCGUAAACGAUGAUUACUCGAUGUUGGCGAUACACAGUCAGCGUCUGAGCGAAAGCAUUAAGUAAUCCACCUGGGGAGUACGAUCGCAAGAUUGAAACUCAAAGGAAUUGACGGGGGCCCGCACAAGCGGAGGAGCAUGUGGUUUAAUUCGAUGAUACGCGAGGAACCUUACCUAGGCUUAAAUGUAGAAUGACCGUCCGUGAAAGCGGACUUUUCUUCGGAACAUUUUACAAGGUGC
rnacentral:rRNA from 1 species